UGGGGAAUAUUAGGCAAUGGGGGAAACCCUGACCUAGCCAUGCCGCGUGCGUGAAGAAGGUCUUAGGAUUGUAAAGCGCUUUCAGCGGGGAAGAUGAUGACGGUACCCGCAGAAGAAGCCCCGGCUAACUCCGUGCCAGCAGCCGCGGUAAUACGGAGGGGGCUAGCGUUGUUCGGAAUUACUGGGCGUAAAGGGCGUGUAGGCGGCCAAUUAAGUCAGAGGUGAAAUCCCCGAGCUCAACUUGGGAACUGCCUUUGAUACUGGUUGGCUAGAGUUCGGGAGAGGGUAGUGGAAUUCCCAGUGUAGAGGUGAAAUUCGUAGAUAUUUGGAGGAACACCAGUGGCGAAGGCGGCUCACUGGCUCGAUACUGACGCUGAGGUGCGAAAGUGUGGGGAGCAAACAGGAUUAGAUACCCUGGUAGUCCACACCGUAAACGAUGAAUGCCAGUCGUCGGGUAGCAUGCUAUUCGGUGACACACCUAACGGAUUAAGCAUUCCGCCUGGGGAGUACGGUCGCAGAUU
rnacentral:rRNA from 1 species